CGAACGGCGGUGGCGGAGUCGACGGGGGAGCCGUGGACUUCGAUCCCGCGGCGUCUGGACAGGUGUGAAGAACUACACAAGGUGUGAAGCUGUGGAGAAUCAGACCCCUAGCAUCCAAUUAGCAAGAUCAACAUUCAUUUCUUCUCUACCACCAUCUGGUGUCUGCUGGGAGAACAACAUGGAAACACGCAGAAGUUAGCCAACUGCUCUAAAAUUUACAUCAAGGAAAUUUGUGAGAUUCUGGUGUUUUAACAUCUUUGCAUAAACAAAAUAAUCUUUGACUCAAAGGACUGUACAAAGUCUCAAGACAACCAUCUUGUGACACAAAGCAUUGAUAUAACAUAAAAAAAUUUUUAGCCACGGUCAGUUGGUUAUUUUAGCAUUUUGUACUUUAAUUUGAAUAUUUCACAGUUCAGCAGGGUCACAUCAUACAACCUACAUACAACGUGAGGUCUCAAUUACUCUGUCAGAUAAUGGAAUGGAAAUUAUAUGAUAAGGAGGGAGAAUUUAUAGCAAGAAUACAAUACAGAACAAAGCUUUCUCUAACUUCUAUAAUAAAGCUUCUCUAAAAAGCUUUAGAACGUAGCUUCAAUUUUCACAAUGGAAUAAUCCAGUGUAUUAAACUGCCAAUUGCCUCUGACUGCAAGAGAGAAAAAAAAUAUUUAUAGCUCAUCAUAAUAUCCCCCUAGAGCAGCCUUUCUUUAAUCAACUGAUUCUGCACUUUUUCCCCCACAAAGAAAACCAAGUCCUCCUAGGCUAAGCCUAAAUGGCUACCUGAUUGCACAAUCCCCUAGGUAUUGUUACUCUGAUUGGAUACUAAUGAUCCAACUGAGGUUUCCAUGACAACUUUCUUUGCUCAGGAUAGACCCCAAGUAGAGCAGGCCAUUUAAAGUGAUAGGAUACAUUACAGUCCAACUUCAAAACUAGGUUUGUGUAUCUUUCAGUACACUUUCUACAUUCUCUAAUUACUCUGACUGUUGAUUCCACUGAAGAGGGACCCAAACUUCUUUGCCACAUGUUAUAGCCCUGGCCAAGGUGACAGCAUGUGGCUAUCAGCACCACAACAUCCUUUUGCACCUGAGUCCUAGAGCUGCCUUUGGCUAGCCAGUCAUUGAGGUAGGGAUAGAUCUGGACACCCCGAUGUUUGAGGUAAGCAGCCACCACCAACAUGUACUUGAUAAAUACCUGCGGUGAUGUUGCUACGCCAAAUGGGAGGACUGCAAACUGAUAGUGGUUGGGACCUACCGUAAACUGGAGGAAGCGUCUGUGUUCCUCAAAGAUGGCAAUGUGAAGGGCUUGCCCGUCGAAGGGGAGGUCUUGCAUCGACUGCUGAGCCUCUGUGAACAAACCGGAGAGGAGCAGCCAGGAUGCCCAGCGCAUAGCGAUGUCCGAGGCCAUGGUUUGGGCAGCAGUGUCUGCUGCAUCCAACACUGCCUGGAGGGUCGCCCUGCCCGCAGUCGUGCCCUCCUCUAUGAUAGCCUGUAACUCGUUCCUAGAAACCUCAGGAAAGGAGACCUCAAACUUGGCCAUGGCUUUUCACGUGUUAAAGUCAUAGCGUCCCAGGAGCACCUGAUGGUUGGCCACCCUCAACUGGAGACUAGAGGACGAAUAAACUUUAUG